GGGAGCUUGCUCCUUGAUUCAGCGGCGGACGGGUGAGUAAUGCCUAGGAAUCUGCCUGGUAGUGGGGGACAACGUUUCGAAAGGAACGCUAAUACCGCAUACGUCCUACGGGAGAAAGCAGGGGACCUUCGGGCCUUGCGCUAUCAGAUGAGCCUAGGUCGGAUUAGCUAGUUGGUGGGGUAAUGGCUCACCAAGGCGACGAUCCGUAACUGGUCUGAGAGGAUGAUCAGUCACACUGGAACUGAGACACGGUCCAGACUCCUACGGGAGGCAGCAGUGGGGAAUAUUGGACAAUGGGCGAAAGCCUGAUCCAGCCAUGCCGCGUGUGUGAAGAAGGUCUUCGGAUUGUAAAGCACUUUAAGUUGGGAGGAAGGGCAGUAAGCUAAUACCUUGCUGUUUUGACGUUACCGACAGAAUAAGCACCGGCUAACUCUGUGCCAGCAGCCGCGGUAAUACAGAGGGUGCAAGCGUUAAUCGGAAUUACUGGGCGUAAAGCGCGCGUAGGUGGUUUGUUAAGUUGGAUGUGAAAGCCCCGGGCUCAACCUGGGAACUGCAUCCAAAACUGGCAAGCUAGAGUACGGUAGAGGGUGGUGGAAUUUCCUGUGUAGCGGUGAAAUGCGUAGAUAUAGGAAGGAACACCAGUGGCGAAGGCGACCACCUGGACUGAUACUGACACUGAGGUGCGAAAGCGUGAGGAGCAGACAGGAUUAGAUACCCUGGUAGUCCACGCCGUAAACGAUGUCAACUAGCCGUUGGAAUCCUUGAGAUUUUAGUGGCGCAGCUAACGCAUUAAGUUGACCGCCUGGGGAGUAC
rnacentral:rRNA from 1 species